AGGUCCUGCUGGGUUAAAGUGCUAGCUACCAAAACUGAUGACCUGUGUUCAAUCCCUAGGAACCACAUGAUAGAAAGAGAGAAUGACCCCUGCAAGUUAGCCUCUGAUUUGUACAAGUGCUUGGUGGCACAUGACCCCACAAGUAAAAAUGUAAUACAUUUUUUUAAAAGUAGGGUGGGUGAUGGCUUAGUUGAUAAAGUACUUGCCACUUAAGUAUGGGGGCUUGUAUCCCCCAUAUAAGUAUCUCCAGACUCACGUGCAAAAGCCUGCACAGUGGUGUGCACAUUUAGUUUACUACUGGAGAGGCAGAGAUAGGCAGGUCCCUGGACUGAGACAAGUCUAACUGGUGAAACCAAACCUCAAAAACCAAACAAAUAAAAACACCCCAAGGUGGACAAUGCCCAAAGAUGACAAGUAAAGCUGUUGUCUAUCCUCAGCAUGUACACACUGACACCUGCUUCUACACACAGAACAUUUGCACACACCUGCACAUAAUACCUCCGACCCAAGAUGACUACUACUCUUUGUUUUCUGCCAUCCUGAGAUGUUUUCCUCAGGCUCUCACUGACUGUGUAGAAGAGAAUGGAAACUGCAAGAUGGAGGGUCCAGAAGAAGAGAAAGAAACCUGGGAUGUAGUGCAGAGGUAUCAACAUGGUCCCUAACCUGCCCCCCACCCCGCCCCAGGGAUACAUUCACUAGGGACAGGUGAUCAUAACCAGGCUUAAGUGCUUGAUUGUUUGUGACACACAGCAGGGCAGAAAUUAGUGGAAACCAUACCAUGGAUAUCAUCAUCAUCAUCAUCAUCAUCAUCAUCAUCACCAUCAUCAUCCUCAUCGAGGAGGUUGAAGCUUCACCUUAUCAGUGGAAGAGAAAACAUUCCUCUCACUGUUUAAAGUUGCUGCUUCCAAUAUAGUCAACCAUAGCCACAGGUGUCUACAGAUCUUUGAAAUGCCAAGCCUAAGUGGAGGU
rnacentral:lncRNA from 1 species